UUUCCGUAGGUGAACCUGCGGAAGGAUCAUUCAUAAUAAAGUGUUUUAUGGCACUUUUUAAAAAUCCAUAUCCACCUUGUGUGCAAUGUUAGAUCUCGUCAAUCUUGGCGAGGUUUUUAUACAUCAACUCAUUUUUAACUAAUUUGUCUGAAAAAUAUUAUGAAUACUUAAUUCAAAAUACAACUUUCAACAACGGAUCUCUUGGCUCUC
rnacentral:misc_RNA from 1 species